CCUUGCUGUGGCCUGAUUGGGAGUGGGGGGUGGGCCACAGGUGGCCCGCUGAUGGUGGGCUUGGCGGUCCCACCCGCUUUGGCGGACAGACUGUGGGCAGGAGUGAUGGGGGUUGAAACGUGCUUGGGAGCUGGGCUCGGCCUCUUGGCUUUUGCUUUGCAAGGAGAACGUUCCUGGCUGGUCUGUUGGUCUAAGGGCUGGAGAAGCGUGGGGCACACCUGGACCCCACCUGGAGUGGGGAAGUACCUCCGGCUGAGCUGAGAGUCGGUGCCGUUGUUUGGAGACACGGAGCUCUGUCAUUUGUUCCCCCAGAGCGUUAUUGGGGUAAUGGCUAGAGACAGAAAAUCGGUCUUCCUGCACACGUUUCCUCAUCUGGAAAACGUGUUGAUCGUCCCACCGCGGUGUGGCUGGGAGCAGUUCGUGAGCUAUUGUGUGUAAUGGGCCCGGGGAGCUCAGCCUGCCGUGAGCUCUUUCGUGGCCUCUCCCCGGGCACCAGCCCCUGGGGGCCUUGAGGUAUGUGGACCCACGGCCACGUGGCUCCACGCUCCAUCACCUCCUCUGCACAGAGCAGCGAGGAACCGAGACCUGUAAUCUGGCCGGCCGUAGGCUGCCGCUGGCCUCUCUGAACUGGUGCCCUUGUUGCAAUUCGGGGCUCUCAGAAUUGAUCUCUUGGGUUCAAUCAUACGUUUCAAAUGUUUUUUGUCUAGAGAGAGAGAGCACGCACGCGGGGUAGAAAGGCAGAAUUUUAGGCAGGCUCCAUGUGUAGCACAGAGUCCAAUGCGGGCCCGAUCCCCUGACCCUGGGAUCACCACCUGAGCCGAAACCGAGUUGGACACGAACACGAUGGAGCCACCCGGGUGCCCCUAGGAUGAAACUCGUGCAAGUGUCUGUUCCUGUCAAAGAUGAGGACCCGGGCCCAGAGCCCAGCCUUGACUUGUGAGGAUGACACGGGAGCCAUGGGUACACUGGCCGCAGGACCCUGCUAAAGACGCCCGGCGUGGACGUGUCGGAGCCGCGCUAUUACCGCGACGCGAACCUGGCCUCGCCCCCGCACGCGUUCGGCCGCCUGGUAGCCAAGGAGGGGACGCGACCACACGGCACGGCCGCCACAGCUGUCCCUCCAGCUCGCCCUAGGGAGGUGGGGUGCGGAAGCGGAUCUUCUUGGCCGUCUCCACGUCAGAUUUGGCAACCAGAAAGCGCAUCUUCUUUCCUCCGUGUCGGAUCAGGUCCACAGCCCUGAAAGCCGGCCAGGGGAGACGCGUGGUGUGGCCGACUCGCCACGGGUCCAGCCUCGGGGCCCGGUACCCUGAGGUCUGAGGACAGAGGGGACACGGCCGGCCGGGGAAGCGGCUGCCGCACGGGCCCUUCUCUCAAGCGCCACCGAGCUGCCCCACUGAGCCCGGUCCCGAGCCCGCGGCCGGCCCUGCCCUGCCCGCCCGUGGUCUCCCAGCGACCGCGCGAGCCGUGGGCCUACGUGGGGCGGUCCUGAGCAGGAGGAGCCCAGGGGGCGGCUCACCAUCCCGUCGAUCAGGCCCAUCCCCAGGCCGGAGGGACCCCGCUCCAGCUCUACCACAAACACGUAGCAGAAGUCCUCGGCGCUGGAGCUGCGGCUGGAGAGGGCUGGCGGGGGCUCGUCCGCCGGAGCCACGCCGUCUCCUGGGCAGGUCAGAUCAGGCCUUCAGGCAGAGCGUGUGGCUGCAGUCCCCUCACCAGCAAGCAGGUGCCCUGCCUCAGGCCCGGAUCUGCCCAGGUGACCCCUGGCCUUGGGGCACACCCAGAGUCUGCAGGGGCACUGCCGGGGGCUGCUCUGCCCUGCACUUCAUGGCCCCCCCGGCCCUCCCCCCAGCCUCCUACCUGGUGCACACCACCUGAGCCGUCCCUUCCUCCACCCUGGGGGGAGGGACUUCGUCCCACAGGCGGCUGUGCGUGCACCCUGUGCCCUUCGACGGGGGCCUGACCCACCCUGCGCCCGCCUCACGUGGCCCCUAGAGCCUGCCCAGCAUGGGCUACGGGCGUUCGUGGGCAGGUACCAGAAGCCCAGGCCAAACGUGCCCCUAGGGCCGCACGGUUACAGUGACCCAAAGGGGCCCCGCCCCGGGGGGAGACUGGGGGCUGUUGGGAGCCUGGGGACAGGUCUUACCUUCCCCAGCUGCACCUCGGGGGCCACUCUGC